rnacentral:lncRNA from 1 species
UGGUGAAGAAUUCCACAGGAUAGCCAUCAACACCAGGUGCUUUGUCUUUUGGCAUAUCAUUCAAAGCAUCAAUUAUCUCUUCCAUACUAAUGUCUCUGAUUAACAUCCUUUGUUGCUCUAGGUUCAAACAUUUACCUUCCUUCACAAUAGUUACAUCAACACCAGUCAAUUCUUCAGCACAUCCUCCAAGCAACUCUUGAAAUACUGUGAUAAAUUCAUGCUCCACAGCAGCAGGGUCAGUAAUAU